rnacentral:lncRNA from 10 species
CCUGUCUUUACUAAAAAUACAAAAUUAGCUAGGCAUGGUGGUGCACACCUGUAAUCCCAGCUACUUGGAUGGCUAAGGCAGGAGAAUCACUUGAGCCCUGGAGGCGGAGGUUGCAGUGACCGAGAUCAUGUCAUUGAACUCUAGCCUAGGCAACAAGAGUGAAACUCCGUCUGAAAAAAAAAAAAAGAAAUUAGCUAGGCAAAGUGGUGUGUGUGUGCCUGUAGUUCCAGCUACUUGGGAGACUGAGGUAGAAGGAUCUCUUGAGCCCAGGAGUUCAGGGCUGUAGUGUGCAAUAAUCACACAUGUCAAUAGCCGCUGUACUCCAGCCUGGGCAACAUAGCAAGACACUGUCUGGAAUUAAGUUCAAAUUAAGCAUUUGUGAAUGUUUCCUAUGUGCAAGGCACUGUGUAGGAGACAGGAUAAAUAAGGCAAGAUUUGCAAGAUUUCUAAUCUGGUAGAGAUUAAGGCAAGUAUAAAAAUAUCUGAGUUACAGGGCAGGUGCAGUGGCUCACGCCUGUAAUCCCAGCACUUUGGGAGGCCGAGGCGGGUAGAUCACCUGAGGUCAGGAGUUCAAGACCAGCCUGGGCAACAUAGUGAAACCCUGUCCCUACUAAAAAUAUAAAAAUUAGCCAGGCGUGAUGGCGUGUGCCUGUAAUCUCAGCAACUCAGGAGGCUGAGGCACGAGAAUCGCUUGAACCCGGGAGGUGGAGGUUGCAGUGAGCGGAGAUCACGCCAUUGCACUCCAGCCUGGGCGACAGGGCAAAACUCUGUCAAAAAAAAAAAUGCGAGUUACGAGGUAAAACAAGAUAUGUUUUAUUAGGAGAGUACAAAGUUCUGUGCAAUUUUUAAAAGUUUAAUGACAAUUUGGUUUUUUUUUUUUUUUGAGACAGAGUCUGGACCUUGUUGCCCAGGCUGGAGUGCAGUGGUGUGAUCUCAGCUCACUGCAACUUCCACCUCUUAGGUUCAAGUGAUACUCCUGCCUUGGCCUCCUGACUUGCUGGGAUUAUACAGGCGCCCACCACCACGCCCAGCCAAUUUUUUUGUGUUUUUAGUAGAGACGGGGUUUCACCAUGUUGGCCAGGCUCAUCUUGAACUCCUGACCUCAGGUGAUCUGCCCACCUCGACCUCCCAAAGUGCUGGGAUUACAGACAUGAUUCACCACACCCAGCCAGUUUCAUUUUUUAUAAUUCUUUUUUUUUUAACUUUUAUUUUAGGCUCGGCGGUACAUGUGAAGGUUUGUUAUAUAGGUAAACUCAUGUCUUGAGGAUUUGUCAUACAUUUCAUCACCCACCCAGGUGUGUUAAGCUUAGUACCCAAUAGUUAUUUUUUCUGAUCCUCUCCCUCCUCCCAUCCUCCACCUUCAAGUAGAUCCCAGUGUCUGUUAUUCCCUUCUUUAUGUUUGUGAGUUUUCAUCAUUUCACUCCCACUAUUAUAAGGGAGAAAAUGUGGCUUUUGGUUUUCUGUUCCUCUGUUAGUUUGCUAAGGAUAAAUAGGCUCCAGCUCCAUCCAUGUUCCCACAAAAGACAAGAUCUUGUU